UGGGAGGUCGAUCAACGGUAGGUCAGUAGCCUCUGAAGCUAUUUAUCUUGGUCCGAAUCCAAGCCUCCCAGCAA
rnacentral:tRNA from 1 species